GGAUUUGAGCCUUUGCUCAGCAAGGAACGCUGGCGGACUGCCUAACACAUGCAUGUCGAACAGAAGGUUUCGGCCUUAGUGGUGCACGGUGUGCGAAACGCGUUUCAAAUCUGCCUUAAGGUUCGGAAUACCAGCGCGUAAAUUGGCUGGUAAUACCGAAUGACACCGGGAGAUCUCGGAAUUUAUCCGCCUGAGGAUGACCCCUAGGGGGGUGUGAGUAAAGCGCCCUACCAAAGGCGCCGAUCCGUAGCUGGUCUGAAGAGGAUGAUCAGCCCUCACUGGGAGUGAGUGCGCGGCCCCAGUCUCCUACGGGAGGCAGCAGUGGGGAAUAUUGGACAAUGGGCGAAAGCCUGAUCCAGCAAUGCCGCGUGAGUGAUGAAGGCCUUAGGGUUGUAAAGCUCUUUUACCCGGGAUGAUAAUGGCAGUGCCGGGAGAAUAAGCUCCGGCUAACUCCAGUGCCAGCAGCCGCGGUAAUACGGAGGGAGCUAGCGUUAUUCGGAAUUACUGGGCGUAAAGCGCACGUAGCGCGGCUUUGUAAGUUAGAGGUGAAAGCCUGGAGCUCAAGCUCCAGAAUUGCCUUUAAGACUGCAUCGCUUGAAUCCAGGAGAGGUGAGUGGAAUUCCGAGUGUAGAGGUGAAAUUCGUAGAUAUUCGGAAGAACACCAUGUGGCGAUAGGCGGCUCAUCUGGACUGGUAUUGACGCUGAGGUGCGAAAGCGUGGGGAGCAAACAGGAUUAGAUACCCUGGUAGUC
rnacentral:rRNA from 1 species